rnacentral:lncRNA from 1 species
AGAAAUCAACACUCAAAUUCGGACACUUGUGAGGAAGGACAUUGUAGCAAUAGACAUCUUUUAGUAAACUGAUUGGUUUUUGUGCUGUUCCUUAGAGCCUUAAAUGUCAGCUAUCAUGCGGCCGUUAGUUUGCACCACUGGCAUAACAGUUGCUACAGAUGGCACAAUUUAUUUGUAUGGAAAACUGCAAGAAACCCCAAAUACAAUCCCAGAAGACCAAGAUAACUGUGAUCAUGUUGAUCCGGCUCCCAAAUGUGACACGGAGACUGCCCAGGACCAUGCCUCAGAGCGUUCCCUGGUGCCUGUCCGCGACUGUGCCGUGAAGCUUGCCCCGGAGACUUUGCAGGAGCCUAUCCUGGAGCUCAUCCCAGACUAUGGCAUAGAACCAACUCUGUUCUAUGCCUUGGACCCCACCCCCAAUUGCUACCCCAGCCAGACCUUGGAAUGCAUCCUCAGCUGGGCACCAGGCUGUGGUCUCUAUUGGUCCCAGGAAUACACACCCAGUGAAGUCCCUAACUGGGCUCCUGGUUUGGUCCCAGGCUGGUCCUCAGAAGGCAUCUCUGGCUGCGAUCCAGGUUGGGCUUCAGAGUGCAUCUAUGUCUAUGCCCCUCGUAUGGCCCCCAACUGUGCCUCACAGUGUAUCCCAGACUGGGCUCUGGAAUGGACUCCCGACUGGACCCCAGAAUGCAUUCCAGGUGCGGUCCCUAUCUGUGCCUCUGUUUUGACCCAAGGCUGGGCCCCUGAUGAUGUUCCUGACAGUGUUCCCAGUGUGGCCACCAUCUUUGCCCCUGGUUUUGCUCCUGACUGGGCCCCAGAAUUUGACUCCUAUUGGUCCAUAGAGCAGCUCCCAAGUGUGGUCCCUGGUGUGGCUGCAGACUGGCCCCCAGAGUACAGCUUUGACUGCUCCCCCGGUGUGGCCUCUGACUGUGCCCUUGGUUACAUUCCAAACUGGUCCUUGGAGUGUGCCCCUGCUUUAGCCCCAAGUUUUGCCUUGGACUGCACCCCUGUAUGUGUCCCUGAUUUAGCCCCUGGCUGCCUUCUACAAUUUGUACCAAGCUGGUCCCCAGAAUGCAUUCCUGACUGGGCUCUAGAGUGUGCCCCCAACUGUUUGCCCAUCCUGACCCAUGACUGGGCCCCAGAAUGUGUACCAGACGUAGUUCCUAAGUAUGUCCCUGGUGUGACUCCAGGCUGGGUCCAGGAACACAUCCAUGACUGUGAGCCCAGUGUGACCCCUAACUGUGGCCAUGGUAUAAUCCCAAACUGGGCUUCAGACAGCAUGCCCUGUUGGGGCCCUGACUGCACACCACUGACUGUGUGGCCUCAGAGUGUUCCCCUGUUUCUUUAGUUUGUAGAGUGUGCCCCAGACUUGGCCCCCA